UGUGGGUAGGCUGGACAUUUAAGUCCGUCAAUCUGCAUGGGGCAGUAUAACCUGUAGCCCAUUGGCCAAAGUGUGGGUGAGCCUGCCCCUCAACAUGCAUGACUCUUCUAUUGAAGAAUUAACUGAAUUUUGUCUGUUACAACUAAUCUAACAUUGUGGUUUAAUUCUUUUUAUCUAUUUCGGGAGGUGUUGCAAUUUAGUGAUUCUUUCAUGUUAACUUUUCAUUGCUCAGCGCAUGCGGUGGCUUGACAAGGCUUCGGGGAAAAAAUUACUUUGUUAGUCUUUAGGGUUUAAUAGGUAAAGUGAUAGUUCAUGCACUUGAUGAAAAGGCCAGAGCUUACUACAAUUUGGAGGGUCUUUGGACCCGAGGGACAAUUCAAAAUGAACCUGAUGGGGAUUUACAAAAAGCUUUGGUGAAGGUUCGUCGAAAAAACAAUUCGAAGAAACCUGCACAAAAGAAUGCUUAAUUAGUGUCUCAAUGUAAACAACCUUUUAAAACUGUAGCUUCUGACUGCAUCUGAUCUAGACAAUUUAGAAGUUU
rnacentral:sRNA from 1 species